rnacentral:rRNA from 1 species
GACGAACGCUGGCGGCGUGCUUAACACAUGCAAGUCGAACGGAAAGACCCUGCUUUUGUGGGGUGCUCGAGUGGCGAACGGGUGAGUAACACGUGAGUAACCUGCCCUUGACUUUGGGAUAACUUCAGGAAACUGGGGCUAAUACCGGAUAGGAGCUCCUGCUGCAUGGUGGGGGUUGGAAAGUUUCGGCGGUUGGGGAUGGACUCGCGGCUUAUCAGCUUGUUGGUGGGGUAGUGGCUUACCAAGGCUUUGACGGGUAGCCGGCCUGAGAGGGUGACCGGCCACAUUGGGACUGAGAUACGGCCCAGACUCCUACGGGAGGCAGCAGUGGGGAAUAUUGCACAAUGGGCGGAAGCCUGAUGCAGCAACGCCGCGUGCGGGAUGACGGCCUUCGGGUUGUAAACCGCUUUCGCCUGUGACGAAGCGUGAGUGACGGUAAUGGGUAAAAAAGCACCGGCUAACUACGUG